GAACGCAACUUGCGCUCCUUGGUAUUCCAUGGAGCAUGCCUGUUUGAGUGUCACGUAAACCCUCACCCAAGUGAUGUUACAGUCGUCUUGUGGUGGAUUUGGAUUGUGCCGUAAUUGGCUCAUCCUGAAAUGCAUUAGCUUGCGCUUUUUACAGUGCUCGGCAUGGUGUGAUAAUUAUCUGCGCCGUCGCCUUAGGCCUGUUCUAUAUGUGUAGCUUCUAAUCGUCCCUUGUGGACAACUUACUUAACACUUUGGCCUCAAAUCAGGUAGGAUUACCCGCUGAACUUAAG
rnacentral:misc_RNA from 1 species